rnacentral:rRNA from 1 species
AGCAGCGCCGCGGGAAUACGAAGGGGGCUAGCGUUGUUCGGAAUUACUGGGCGUAAAGCGCGUGUAGGCGGGCUUUUAAGUCAGGGGUGAAAUGCCAAGGCUCAACCUUGGAACUGCCCUUGAUACUGGAAGUCUUGAGUCCGGGAGAGGUGAGUGGAACUGCGAGUGUAGAGGUGAAAUUCGUAGAUAUUCGCAAGAACACCAGUGGCGAAGGCGGCUCACUGGCCCGGAACUGACGCUGAGACGCGAAAGCGUGGGGAGCAAACAGGAUUAGAUACCCGAGUAGUCCCUGUCUCUUAUACA